CAUUUCCAUUAAUGUACUUUAAUAUUCAUCUUCUUCUUCUUCCUCUUCUUUUUCUUUUUUGAUCAAUGAGUUAAAGAUUGGUGGUUAACCUUGAUACAAGGGAGGUUUAACCUUCCUUGAUUCAAAUCUAAUUCAACUUGAUCAUGGAUCAAGUGAAUGACUUUUCAUUAAGGAUAGGUUUCUUCCUAACCAAGCAAAGAACCUAAAUCAAUACAAGAUCAUUU
rnacentral:lncRNA from 1 species